rnacentral:rRNA from 1 species
GUUUGAUCAUGGCUCAGAUUGAACGCUGGCGGCAGGCUAACACAUGCAAGUCGAGCGGUAGAGAGAAGCUUGCUUCUCUUGAGAGCGGCGGACGGGUGAGUAAUGCCUAGGAAUCUGCCUGGUAGUGGGGGAUAACGUUCGGAAACGGACGCUAAUACCGCAUACGUCCUACGGGAGAAAGCAGGGGACCUUCGGGCUUGCGCUAUCAGAUGAGCCUAGGUCGGAUUAGCUAGUUGGUGAGGUAAUGGCUCACCAAGGCGACGAUCCGUAACUGGUCUGAGAGGAUGAUCAGUCACACUGGAACUGAGACACGGUCCAGACUCCUACGGGAGGCAGCAGUGGGGAAUAUUGGACAAUGGGCGAAACUGAAUCCAGCCAUGCCGCGUGUGUGAAGAAGGUCUUCGGAUUGUAAAGCACUUUAAGUUU